CCCGGGAAGCAAGGAGCGGCCACGGGCUCAGGGGGGAAGCGCUCUUUCCUGGGCAGCCCCCGGCCUCGUCUCGCCCCCGCGUCGGAAGGGCAGAGACCUCGGCGCUGGCCCUCCCAGGGCUGGAGCGCCCUGAAAUUCCUCGUGGCAGCUUUGAGCGAGCACAUCUGGUUUUAAUAAAUUAUUUGCAGCUUGAACUUGCCUGACUUCUAAGGGCUGCAGAAGAGAAAGCAGCGAAAGAGCCCCGGCAGAGCAGCCCCAAAGGGACUGACCUCGCUCACAGCGAGGGGGUCCAGGGCCAGCCAAGCCCCCGGGGGACCCCUGCUCCUGGCAGAGCCCCUUCGGCUCCUUGCAGCAGCCGCGGGGGCGGCCGGCACGGAGGCAGGGAGGGGGCUGCUCUGGGCCAGGAGCCCGCUCCCUGCAGCUGGGCGUUGAGCAGAGCCAGGGCUGACGGCUGUCUUGGAUGGUCCGUUGGUGUCUCGGAGAUCGGGCGCGGUGCCUCCCCCGUGUCCCUGGGCUGUGCCCGUGGUGCCUCCCCGGUGAGAUCCCUCUCCCAUGAGGUCCCUGCCCGACGUCCCUGCCUGUCCACAGCCAGGAGGGUGCAGCUGUGACCUCUGGGGACGAGCCCCUGCCCUAGCCCCGCACGGGGGGGACGCAUCCAGCCCCCCAGCCCAGCCCCAUGGCUGUCGACUGCUCCUUGCCACCGGCGCUGCAGAGCCCAGCGUGAGUCCUGGGGAGGACAGGGAUGGGGGACCCUAUCCAUUGCUGGAGCAGGGGAUUUCUGUAGGGUUUCCAUGGGGAGCCCUGCUCCUGCCACCCCAUCCCCACCCUGGCAGGCAGCUCUCAGAGCCUGCCACAAGUGCUGGGGGAUGCGGGGGCUUCCUGGGAUGAAGGAACAGAAGGAAAACAAACAUUUCUCUUUGUGCUGCUUCCUCAUCCACACCCAUUUCUACCCCUGAUCCCUGCGACCCCGCAGCGGCACAUUCUCCAGCAGAACACCCUCUCCUUUUUCUCAUGGCUCCACCAGGCAGGGCUGUGAUGCUCGCGCACAAACCCAGCGCCGCUGCGCCCUCCUUCCCUUUUCGCCCCUUCCAGGCUGGGUCUCCCCAUCGCCACGGGCAGGCUGCGUCCCCCCCGCAGCCUCCGCUCCUCCCGGCGGGCGGGGAGCGACGUGGCCUUCCCCGCUGCCGGCGCGGGGGAGAGAGGAGCCAGCAGACGCCUAGACGGCCUCUUCCCUAAGCGGUGACCUCAGCGCGGCAAUGCUUGCCAGGAUUUGCCAAACCAAACGCGCUGGCUCGCGAGCAUCCCUCUGCAUUGGGAGAGAUCCUGCGCCUGGCUCAAGGGAGCAAUGCCAUUCUGGUUAAAGGCAUCAUCUUCCCUGAACUGUGCAUGGCACAGCCCAUGGAGCUCCCCCUGUAUCCCUGGGGAGCUCGGGGAGGUGAGGCUCUGGUGGCACAGGGUCUUCAUCGCUCCAGCAACAGGGGAGAGCCAGGGCUGGGGGAGCUGCUGCCUUCAGACCUCCCGGGGACUUUCUCCUCCUGGCGUUCUGGGAUUUGGGGUUUUUAUUGGCUUUGAUCACGUUGCAAGGUUCAAUCUUCUCGGGGUGCUGCAGGUGACCUGUUGCUCCAGCAAGAUCCCAGGCAGGAGGCAAGCAGCUCCCCUGGUUCACCAGGUCCGUGCAGACCUCAGCGCCCCUGAGCCUCAGCUCCAACAACCCUCCUACAGCAGCACAGCCCACCCUGCAACAUGGGGAAAAUGCCAAUUUCCAGCAUUUUCUGCCCAAAGCCAUCCCACGCAGGGGGCCUGGGGCACCCGGAGGUACACACAGAGGUCGCUGGAUGUUUUAAACCCACGUGUGAACGGAACGGAGCCUCAGCAGAGCCGGGUCUCUCCUUCCCUUCCCACCUCCUCGCUCGGCUUCCCGAGGGCAGCACCUUCCUUCGCAGCCCUCUGCAUGGCUUCUGGGGCUUGUGCAGCACCCACUGGAGGGGAGGCAUUAAAAAAAUAAAAAUAAAAAAACUAAAAAGGGGCUA